rnacentral:rRNA from 1 species
AUACGGAGGGUGCAAACGUUGUUCGGAACCACUGGGCGUAAAGGGCGCGCAGGCGGUUUGAUUAGUCAGAUGUGAAAGCCCACGGCUUAACCGUGGAAGUGCAUUUGAAACUGUCAGACUUGAGUACUAGAGGGGAAAGUGGAAUUCCCGGUGUAGAGGUGAAAUUCGUAGAUAUCGGGAGGAAUACCGGUGGCGAAGGCGACUUUCUGGCUAGAUACUGACGCUGAGGCGCGAAAGCGUGGGGAGCAAACAGGAUUAGAAACCCUAGUAGUCC